GGCGGGACCUUGGGGAGGAGGAGAGAUGGUGGGAGAUCCCGGGAGUGAAGCCCGUGAAGAGGAGGAGGAGGAGGAGUCUUCCACAGAGGACCCCAAAUUUUGGAGAGGAGCAGAUUCUGGGAGGCCGGGGUUUGUAGGAGAGAAAGGAACUCGAGCCGGGGAGAGAACGGACCUAGAGCGUUGAAGAUGGGCCAUGUUCAAAGAAGAGAAUGGCAGGGAGACAUGUCUUCUUGAAGAGAAGCGGGGGACGACUUUCGUAGCGUUUCCAUUUCCCACAAAGUUCUAAACUACAGGGUCCAGAGGAAAAAUUAGAGUCUUUUCUUCCUCUUUCUCCCCAGAAAUAUGUGAAACUUGAAAGAGAUAAAUAUGGAAGAAGAUGAAGGGCAGACUACACAUGCAAACAUGCACAGCAAGCCUAUAGAAUGAUGAUGAAGAAAGAAUGAUGGAAGAUGAAAGAAAUGUUACUUUAACCUUCUGGACAAAGGAAGAUAACUCUGAUUUCUCAUAUCAACUAUCUUGGUGAUAUAAAAAAUAGUUUUAGCCUGUGGUCUUA